UAUACUUCUUUUUCCUGCAGUACCAAAACGAGAUCCCUACAAUAGUAGUUCGGCUAGAUUUUUCGUGUCGGCAAGUACAAUGCGACCGCCGCUGCACAGGCAAAGUGCUAUCAUCAAUGACACAGCUGUGUACAAGCGUGGAUACGGAAAUAGGCCAACUAUUUCUCAUGGUCCGACUAAGAAAACGUCUGUUCAAGGAGCUGCCGGGAUGUCUGGAAGAAAGCGAAGCCGUUCACCCUAUGGAAGCCCUGGCAGGAUUGGCAUGAGACUUUAAAGUUUGUGUUCACUGUCGAUCUGAAAAUGUUGCAACACAGGUAAUAAAUGGCGUUUCA